CUGUGCGCCUUUUACCGCGCUGAACACUGGAAAGGACCCCACACCUGUGCUCCUUUUCGGUUGCCCCUUCUGUCRCUGCCGCUUUUAAAUGCAUCAACUCAGWCUCGAAUGUUAACAAAACCAUAAAAAGUAACAACUUUCAGCAACGGAUUUUUUGGCUUUGGCAUGGAUGAAGAACGCAGGGAAAUGCGAUAAGUAAUGUGAAUUGCAGAAUUCAGUGAUUCAUGGAAUCUUUGAACGCUUCUUGCGUUCCUUGGUAUUCCAUGGAGCAUGCCUGUUUGAGUGUCACGUAAACCUUCACCCUUGGGAUGUACCAGUCGCUCGCGGUGGACUUGGACUGUGCCGUAACCGGUUCGUCUUGAAAUCCAUUAGCGGGCGCUUUUAGAGUGUUGGGGGACGGUGUGAUAAUUUUUUGCGCCAAUGCCUUAGGCCUCUUCAGCGGUGCUGCUUACAGCCGUCCCUCUGUGGACACAUUUUUAAAGCUUGGCCUCAAAUCAGGUAGAUGCCAGUCCA
rnacentral:rRNA from 2 species